rnacentral:lncRNA from 1 species
GCACCACAAGAUCACUAUCCAAGUUAUACCAGACUCCAUUGAUUUUCCUCAUCACAACCCAAUGCCUGCUUCUCCAAAGCCCACCGUAUCGUUUCACCGGAGCAUUCAGCACAACACCCAUUAGGUUAUCUGCACCAAGAUCAACAGAAUGACGCUUAUCAUGCCAAACAACACUCUUGCCUUUCCCUUCCAAAGCUGCGAUCAUCACGUUUACGUCGUAGUUCCCUGUGAGCGUGUUGUGGUGAGGCUUGAGGAGUAAAGAGAGAGGCGUCGUCCACGUUUCUUUGUUCGGAUCAUCGGCCACGAGUUUCUCCGCGAUUGAGUUCAAGCUUUCCCGUGUGAAUGCGUCCUUGUCCUACACUCAAAAUCAAAAUCAAAUAUCAAAUAUCAUCAUCUGUGAUUCGAUACUGAGAAGGAGAGAUCGGAUCACCUGAAAUAGAUUGUUGAGCGAGUGCAAGAGGCAAAAUUGAAGUCUUUGUCGCUCGUGAUAGAUCUGAGAUUCGCUUCCCUCCAUCUUUCCGCCGGAGAAAUUAAGGCUUUAUCUUGAGAAACUAAGACGUCACACCGGUAAGAGUGAAGACGAUAGAAUUGAACUGUGUGCCGUUUGUGGUUAACUUAAGUAUAUAACGUACAAGACGUUUUUCUUCGCUGGUCACUAGUAACUAAAGAACAGCAGAGCGUCCCCGGUUUGCUUAAGUAAACACUCUGCCGUCUCCUCCUUUUAUUGGCUUUAUCUAUAUUUGUCUGCGGCUCUUGAUUUUCUAGUUUCUAUGCCUCAUAUUCUGUGAUCUGACUAGUUGCAAAUCACGCUAUAAUGUAAAUACUACAGUUGGAUCCAAACUAUAACAUUCUUGGGUCCCAUUCUAUAUUGUAAAUACUUUUUUAUUUACCAACAAUAAUAGUCAGAAACCUAACACAACCUGUUGGUAUAUAGUCUACAUACGAAUAUAUAAGAUUCCGUACACAAGUAGUGCAUCCUGUCCCUUCUGCACAUUAUGUAGAAAAUGUUCAAAUGACAUAUCCCAAUGGUUUUAUUUACUUCUUUAGCAGAAACAUUAACCACAUGUUAAAGGAAAGGCUGUCAUAUAUAUAUAUAUAAGCUGGUAGCUGAGGCUCUGAAUAAUUUGGUGAUCUCCGAGAAAGGCGUAAUGAAUAGUAAUAGACCUACUCCUGACGCCAAAUGGUUCCUUUGGCAUUUUGUAGGUACUACAGUCUUUUUUUUUUGUUUUCUGAUCAGCUAAAUGAAAAUCAGAUUGGUACAUUUGACAUAUUCAGAUUUGCCCAGAAGAUGACAGGAACUCUUUUAUUUCAUCCGAAAGUAAUGUUUCCCCCUCUUUUAUAGCUGCAACAAAGCACAAUCAAUACUGAUAUAUUUGUUGUAAAGCUUGUCUUGAGAUUAAAAAAAAAAGAGUAGAACAGCCAAAAUAACAUUUUAAAGAAGAAGAGCAUGAUGAAAACUGUAUCCAUGAAGAUAAAAAGAGAAAAGAAGUAUUCUUUAAUCAAGUUUCUGAAUGACUAACAAUAUAUAGCAGCAACUAAAACAAGAAAAAAUAUUGAAAAAGAGGUGAUGCAAUUAAACAAAUAACAUAUUAUUGUAGAAAGGGUAAUUCCAAUUCCCGAUUUUCUUUUUCACAUGAUCGAGCUUCUUGGCCUGCUUCCUCUUCUUGUCUCUCCAUGCAAUUUUGUUUGAUUUGCACUAAACUUGGAACAUACGAGUUGGGGCACACAGCUGGAACAUAAUCGUUAAGAGGGUUAGUUGCUCCAAGAUCCACUGAUUUAAAGAAGUCGUUCUUUCCAAUGAUGUAAGCUGCGUUGUAGUAUUCCUCCUCGGUCUUAAGACUGUCAUGCCAGUCAACACUAAAAAGCACAGCGCGUUUAGUGUCUUCAUCAAUGAAGAAACUAUGAGCUGUAAAACAAGGGAUAGCUUCCAAAUCAAUUUUUAAAAAGUUGCUCCACAACACCUCAUUGGGCUCAAUCUUAGUUGUAACCCAAAUUCCAAUCCCAGAUAUAUGACCGCCCAUAUAUAAAGCCGAUAGUUUCUCUUCUCCAAAAGAAGAGAUAGGAGUUGACUUAUAAUAACUAUUGUCACGAAAGGUUAAGAACCGAUUCUUAAAGUCCUUAUUUAAGAACCGGUUCUUAGUUUUUUUAGUUAAAAGUUAAGAAACAGUUUCUUAACUUCCGCUAAGAACCCCAUCCUAAGAACCCCGGGUUAAUCAUGUUCUUAGGUCCGUGUGUGUGUGCAUUAAAAGAAAUGUAUACAAGUUCUUUUGACUCUUACAAACUUACCUUUAUAGAUCGCAGAUGCCUUCCUUUAGCCUGAGGCUACUAAGAAAGAGAAGAAAGAAGAAAAACCAGGUCAAUGGUGAGUACACCAAUGUCAAAAAGUAAACAGUAGCCAAAGCAGCGUUAUGGCUAAAAAUCAUACUCUGGAUUAGUGUUUACAUGUGAGAACAUACCAUUGGGAGCAAAACAAUAAUCUAUUCAUGACUGGUCAAUCUUAGAUUCGAGUGGCAGAUAAUCGAUAUUUAUGCCAUGUUUCAAAAUGCAAACAUGUACAAAAGGUAUACAAGAUUAAGUUGUAGAGCAGAGUAGAGACACUAUGUUGGAACAUGAUGAGCUUUUUUGGUCAUCAUACAUGACAUUCCCCAACGAGAUCUUACUUGGGAACAUGAUAACUCACAAGCCACAAAUGGAGAAAACUCAAGAAAGUAUUCAACUUUAUUGGAACUUAAACUACAAAGAGCUGUAUAUACAUUUUCACACUUAAUGGGGGUAUAUGAUGAUUGAUUACACAGGGAGAAGCAAAGAAACGAAAUUCACGUUCUUGAUCGUCAAGCAUUGUUGACUAACAAAACCUCUGAACCUGAACUCAGACAUUGAUCCAAGAAACCCCUAACUUCAUCUUCGUCUUUAAACCUCAGUGGCACCACAAGAUCACUAUCCAAGUUAUACCAGACUCCAUUGAUUUUCCUCAUCACAACCCAAUGCCUGCUUCUCCAAAGCCCACCGUAUCGUUUCACCGGAGCAUUCAGCACAACACCCAUUAGGUUAUCUGCACCAAGAUCAACAGAAUGACGCUUAUCAUGCCAAACAACACUCUUGCCUUUCCCUUCCAAAGCUGCGAUCAUCACGUUUACGUCGUAGUUCCCUGUGAGCGUGUUGUGGUGAGGCU